CUCCCUUUAUCACCAGACACCUCCAUCAAGUGCAGCGCUACCACCACCUCCGCCACAGCCACCACCACCACCACCAGCGUGAGGACGAGGACUGGUAGAGUGGACACCCAACUUUUAUGAUCAAUCGUCCCAUAGUCCCAAACGAUAAUGAAGUCUUACCAAGUACGACCAAACACUCAUACUCUCUCCACACUUAACGAUAUCCACGGCACGGAUGAUUGGAGCGUUCAGCAAUCAGGUUGCCUCAUCAGCGUUCCACACCGAUGACCGCCACACUAUGUAAAAGGAAGGCCCACUCAGUCAAGAGCCCCAGCUGCUGUUCAUGAACAGGACAAGUAUAGAUCAGCCCAACAAGAGUGAAAGGCCAACAAUACUGCCUUCCUCUGUGUCUGCAUCUUAACAAAUCCAAUUUGCAUGUGAUUCCAAUUUGCAUGUGAACC